AUUCAGGCGCUUGGCCGAACGACACCUACUAGGGAGUCAGCAGUGAUGGAUUUAAUCCAUAAUCGAAAGCCAGACAUGACAUCGUUUUUCGUUUCCCGUUGUAAACCGGUGCCUUUUCUCCCCUCCCCUUCGAGGGGACAUGGACCCUAAUGAUACGAGGGGGGGAGGGAAAGGUUAACGGUCUACCAUAGCCCUAAACCCGGCAUGGACCGUGGGCGGCGAACCUAACAGCAUCCCGGGUUUGGGAAUUUAGGUCAGGGCGUUAUAACCCGUAUUGUAAAAACAUCGCCUCUUGCAAAACUUAAAAAUAAGAGGUCCCGCCUGCCCUGUGACUAUUAGUUUAACGGCCGCGGUAUUUUGACCGUGCGAAGGUAGCGCAAUCACUUGUCUUUUAAAUGGAGACCUGUAUGAAUGGCAUAACGAGGGCUUAGCUGUCUCCUCUUUCAAGUCAAUGAAAUUGAUCUUCCCGUGCAGAAGCGGGAAUAACCUCAUAAGACGAGAAGACCCUAUGAAGCUUUAGACACCAAGACAGAUCAUGUUAAACACUCCUUAAUAAAGGACUAAACCAAAUGACCCCUGUCCUAAUGUCUUUGGUUGGGGCGACCGCGGGGAAACAAAAAACCCCCACGUGGAAUGGGAGCACCCCCUCCUAAAACUAAGAGCUCCUGCUCUAGUUAACAGAAUUUCUGACCAAUAAGAUCCGGCAAUGCCGAUCAACGAACCGAGUUACUCUAGGGAUAACAGCGCAAUCCCCUUUUAGAGCCCAUAUCGACAAGGGGGUUUACGACCUCGAUGUUGGAUCAGGACAUCCUAAUGGUGCAGCCGCUAUUAAGGGUUCGUUUGUUCAACGAUUAAAGUCCUACGUGAUUUNCUCAAAAACCAGCGAGAAAAUUUUUUUGAAAAACCCGGGCANUACNAGCCCUUCCCAGCCGAUAUACCGCCAUUCGCCAGGCUUACCCCUGUGGAGGUGACAAAAGUUAGCUUAACGGGCACAUCCCAGAACGUCAAGUCGAGGUGUAGCGUACGAAGCGGGAAAAAAUGCGUAUAUUUUGUGCAAUAGAACACUACGGACAUGUGACAUGAAAUAGCGCUAGAAGAGGAUU
rnacentral:rRNA from 1 species